rnacentral:rRNA from 1 species
UACGUAGGGGGCAAGCGUUGUCCGGAUUUAUUGGGCGUAAAGGGCGCGUAGGUGGCCCGGUCAGUUCGUGGUGAAAGCGCGGGGCUCAACCCUGCGUCGGCCAUGAAUACUGCCGCGGCUGGAGCACUGUAGAGGCAGGCGGAAUUCCUGGUGUAGCGGUGAAAUGCGCAGAUAUCAGGAGGAACACCGGUGGCGAAGGCGGGUCUCUGGGAAGUAACUGACGCUGAGAAGCGAAAGCAUGGGUAGCAAACAGG